rnacentral:rRNA from 1 species
ACGCGUGGCGGCGUGCUUAACACAUGACAAGUACGAACGAAGACUAGUUUAUUACGAUCCGUUUCGGGUGGACGAUUUACUGACGUGAGGUGGCGGACGGGUGAGUAACGCGUGGGUAACCUGCCUUGUACGAGGGGACAACAGUUGGAAACGACUGCUAAUACCGCAUAAGCGCACAGCUUCGCAUGAAGCAGUGUGAAAAGUUUUUUCGGUACAAGAUGGACCCGCGUCUGAUUAGCUAGUUGGUGAGGUAACGGCUCACCAAGGCGACGAUCAGUAGCCGACCUGAGAGGGUGACCGGCCACAUUGGGACUGAGACACGGCCAAACUCCUACGGGAGGCAGCAGUGGGGAAUAUUGCACAAUGGGCGAAAGCCUGAUGCAGCGAACCGCCGCGUGAGCGAAGAAGUAUUUCGGUAUGUAAAGCUCUAUCAGCAGGGAAGAUAAUGACGGUACCUGACUAAGAAGCACCGGCUAAAUACGUGCCAGCAGCUGC